CAGGUUGGUCAUUUGAGAGGGGCAGGGUUGAGUUUGGUUAUGUUCAGUUCAAUUAAGGUUACAGGAUUUUAAUUAAUUAGUAAUAUUCGGUAAUAUUUACAUACGCUGAGGUAGUGUAACGUUUCAUGUGUGAUAUGUUUAUAAUGUAAAAGCUUUCUGUGUAUGCUGUGACUUUAUAUAAAUUUAUUUAGUAAGCAGAAGACGAGUGUACUUGACAAAUAUUGUUCAUCGUACAUCUUCGUGAAUAUAUAAAUUUGAAUCAUAUAAACUCGUAUUAGAGGUGCAGCUGCAUUUCUACAGUUUGGUUAUAGUUGAACGUGUCUGUGCUUCAGCUCUGAGGUGGUUGUAAACGUAAAUGUAAGCCCAUCACAGUGACCGAAAGAAUUAACAAACUCACAGUUAGUAUGCCGUGGAAUGAAAAAGGCCUGCGACUCACCAGCAUGAGACCUCAAGUGACUCAUCUGCCAUAAGAGGAAGGAGUUGUUGCUGUCCUAGCAUCCAUGCAUGGCUCUUUCAGAUAGCCUUUUUCUCUUGCAGCUCUGCCACCAGAAUCUGUGCA